GACGAACGCUGACGGCGUGCUUAACACAUGCAAGUCGAAGGGAGUGGCGAACGGGUGAGUAACACGUGAGUAACCUGCCCUUUUCUUUGGGCUAAGCCUGGGAAACUGGGUCUAAUACUGGAUGGAUUGGGAUGGGCUCGCGGCUUAUCAGCUUGUUGGUUGGGUGAGGGCGUACCAAGGCUUGGACGGGUAGCCGGCCUGAGCGGGUAGUCGGUCACACUAGGGCUGAGAUACGGCCCAGACGCGUAAGGGGGGCAGUAGUGGGGGAGAGUGCACAAUGGACGAAAAUCUGAUGCAGAGACUUCGGGUGGGGGAUGAAGGCCGUCGGGUUGUAAACUCCUUUCGCCCGCGGAAUGGUAGUGGGUAAAGAAGCGCCGGCUAACUACGUGCCAGCAGCCGCGGUAAUUC
rnacentral:rRNA from 1 species